GGCAGCAUAGUCUAGUGAGUCAGUGGUUAGGGUGACUCCAAGUGGAGAGGUCCUGGGUUCAAACCCCAGUGUCGACA